rnacentral:rRNA from 1 species
AACGAACGCUGGCGGCAGGCCUAAAACAUGCAAGUCGAACGCCCCGCAAGGGGAGUGGCGCACGGGUGAGUAACGCGUGGGAACGUGCCCUUCACUACGGGACAACGUCGGGAAACUGACGCUAAUACCGUAUAAUGACUCCGGUCCAGAGAUUUAUCGGCGAAGGAGCGGCCCGCGUCUGAUUAGCUAGUUGGUGAGGUAAAGGCUUACCAAGGCGACGAUCAGUAGCAGGUCUGAGAGGAUGAUCUGCCACACUGGGACUGAGACACGGCCCAGACUCCUACGGGAGGCAGCAGUUAGGAAUAUUGGACAAUGGGCGAAAGCCUGAUCCAGCCAUGCCGCGUGCGUGAUGAAGGCCCUAGGGUUGUAAAGCACUUUCGUUGGGGAUGAUAAUGACCGUACCCAAAGAAGAAGCACCGGCUAACUUCGUGCCAGCAGCCGCCGUAA